UCCUCAUUAAAUUAUUUGAGGUAGGGCCUGCUCAAUGCGAAAGUAAAUAGCCGCAGUACUCUGACUGUGCGAAGGUAGCAUAAUAAAUUGGCUCUUAAUUGGAGUCUGGAAUGAAUGGUUUGACAAGGAUUUGACUGUCUUAAAAUAAUUAGUUUUGAAAUUGAACUAUCUGUAAAAAUGCAGAUAUAAGAGAGAGGGACGAGAAGACCCUAUAGAUCUUUAAUGAACUACUAAAAUAUAAAAUUAGUAUUUUUUUUUAUUUGGGGAAAAUCCUGAAAUGUUUGGAAACUUCGGUUAAUUUAAAAUUUAAAUUAUUGAUUUUUGAUCCAUUGAUUAUAAAUUAAUGAAAAAAUGAAAAAGUUACCUUAGGGAUAACAGGACAAUGAUCUUUUUGGAGGUCUUAUCUAAAAAGACGUUUGUUACCUCGAUGUUGAAUUAAGUUAUCUUAUUAAAGGAGAAAUUUUUAUAGUUGGUCUGUUCGACCAUUAAAAAC
rnacentral:rRNA from 1 species